rnacentral:rRNA from 1 species
GAUGAACGCUAGCUACAGGCUUAACACAUGCAAGUCGAGGGGAAACGACAUCGAAAGCUUGCUUUUGAUGGGCGUCGACCGGCGCACGGGUGAGUAACGCGUAUCCAACCUGCCCACCACUUGGGGAUAACCUUGCGAAAGUAAGACUAAUACCCAAUGAUAUCCCACGAAGGCAUCGGAAUGGGAUUAAAGAUUUAUCGGUGAUGGAUGGGGAUGCGUCUGAUUAGCUUGUUGGCGGGGUAACGGCCCACCAAGGCGACGAUCAGUAGGGGUUCUGAGAGGAAGGUCCCCCACAUUGGAACUGAGACACGGUCCAAACUCCUACGGGAGGCAGCAGUGAGGAAUAUUGGUCAAUGGGCGAGAGCCUGAACCAGCCAAGUAGCGUGCAGGACGACGGCCCUAUGGGUUGUAAACUGCUUUUAUAAGGGAAUAAAGUGAGUCUCGUGAGACUUUUUGCAUGUACCUUAUGAAUAAGGACCGGCUAAUUCCGUG